AUGCAACCCUAUAGAUUAAAUGCUUUCGGUAUCAAAACACACAUCAAGCUACAGAGCAAGUUUUAUGGGUCAUUUCGAGUACUUCACAAAGUGGGAAAUGUGGCCUGUCAUUUGCAUCUUCCAAGUGAAGCAAAAAUACAUCCAGUAUUCCAUGUAAGUGAGCUCAAGCGACACAUUGGUCCCCAGGUGGUUCCCUGUCAAGAUCUCCUGUUAGUCAAUGUUGAUUGCACCAUUCAUCAAGCUCCGUUGUUCGUUCUUCAGACAAGGCAAAUCCCCAGGAAGAACCUCCCAGUGGUGCAGUGGUUAGUACAGUGGGAGAAUUUUCCUUCCGAUGACGCUACUCGGGAAGACGCGGAUUUUAUUAAGCAUACUUUCCCAUCUUUCUUCAAGGUGACAGUUGAGGGUUGGCGCAAAGAAACUUGA
rnacentral:rRNA from 1 species